rnacentral:lncRNA from 1 species
CCCCUGUUACAAUUCAAUCACUAUUUCGUCAAUUUCUUAUAAUUUAUAUUGAUAAUAUCUUUGAUAAUAAAAAAAAAUAUAUUAUUUUUUUCUAUAAAAUAAAUAAAAAUAAUUUAAUAGUUUUGCCCUCACAGUUAAAACCCUAAGGUAUCAUUUGGUUCGAGAAUAAGCAAAAAAUGGGUAUUCCGGAGAUAGGUAUAAAUUGAGGUGUAAGCAAGGAUUAGAUCAAUUUUGCGUUUGGAUGAAAAUUGGGUUAUUCCUGGAAAUAAGAAAAAUAGUGUUUGGUUAGAUUAGAUGGAAUAAGAAUUAAAGUUGGUAAUUAUAAAUAAAAAAUAAUAUUAUUAUUCUUUUCUUUAUAUUAGAAUUUGAAUUUUUAUAUUUUAUAUUUAUAUUUUAAAAUUUAAAAUAUAAACUUUUAAAUUUUAAAAAUCAAAAUUAAAUUUUAAAAUUUUAAAAUCUCAAAUUUAUAAUUUUAAAAAAUUAAAAUUUUAAAUUUUAAACUUUAAAUUUAAGAUGAAAUUUUAAUUUAAAAAUACAAAAUAUCAAGUUCUAAAUAAAAAAAAUUUAAAAUAUCAAAUUUUAAAAUUUAAAAUUAAACAAUUUAAGUUUUAAAUUUUAAAUUUUGUAAUUUUAAAAAUUAUAAAUUUUAAUUUUUAAACUUACGAAAUUUAAAUUUUAUAAUAAAUUAAAAAUUCUCUCACUCACUCACACACUCUCUCUCUCUCUCUCUUCACGGGUAGAAUAUGCUGGGUUAUCCCAGCUUGUUCCACCUUGAAGUGGGAACACUAGUUCCCACCUCUUAACGGACUAUUCUAGAAUAGCCCGUUAAGGAGGAAAUUAGUGUUCCCAUCAUUUUUUAUUUAUGUUUGGAGAAUAAGGGUGGAAUAAACCCUUUAUUCC